rnacentral:rRNA from 1 species
AGCGAACGCUGGCGGCAGGCUUAACACAUGCAAGUCGAACGGGCGUAGCAAUACGUCAGUGGCAGACGGGUGAGUAACGCGUGGGAACGUACCUUUUGGUUCGGAACAACACAGGGAAACUUGUGCUAAUACCGGAUAAGCCCUUACGGGGAAAGAUUUAUCGCCGAAAGAUCGGCCCGCGUCUGAUUAGCUAGUUGGUGGGGUAAUGGCCUACCAAGCCGACGAUCCAUAGCUGGUUUGAGAGGAUGAUCAGCAACACUGGGACUGAGACACGGCCCAAACUCCUACGGGAGGCAGCAGUGGGGAAUCUUGCGCAAUGGGCGAAAGCCUGACGCAGCCAUGCCGCGUGAAUGAUGAAGGUCUUAGGAUUGUAAAGUUCUUUAGCCUGUGACGAUGAUGACGGUAACAGGAGAAUAAGCCCCGGCUAACUUCGUG